CACAGAAGAAGGAAAGGGCCAUCUGCGCUUCUCCCCGGCUCCUGACUUACAACGUAGCAGUGGAUUGGGUCAGGAUCAGCGGAUGCUGUAAGCAGUAACACCUGGUGAAGACUCCGGCCCAGGCACCUGCCGCAUCCCCUAAAGGACUGGGUGAGGGUCAGCCACAGGACACAUCUGCGGUCAGGGAGCCAUGGUCAGGCCGGCAAGAGACACACAGAGUGUUUAAAGCUAAAGGAUCCACGCUCCAUCAGAGGCCAGGGUCAGCCUGAAUUUGCUUGAAUCUGAAAGCCCUGGGGCCAGAGCUUCUGCACUCC
rnacentral:lncRNA from 1 species